rnacentral:rRNA from 1 species
GACGAACGCUGGCGGCGUGCUUAACACAUGCAAGUCGAGCGAUGAACCACCUUCGGGUGCGGAUUAGCGGCGAACGGGUGAGGAACACGUGAGGAAUCUGCCUUCCACUCUGGGAUAACUCCGGGAAACCGGGGCUAAUACCGGAUACUUUCAACUGGCGGCAUCGCCGGUUGAAGAAAGUUUUUCGGUGGAAGAUGACCUCGCGGCCUAUCAGCUUGUUGGUGAGGUAAAGGCUCACCAAGGCGACGACGGGUAGCCGGCCUGAGAGGGCGACCGGCCACACUGGGACUGAGACACGGCCCAGACUCCUACGGGAGGCAGCAGUGGGGAAUAUUGGGCAAUGGAGGAAACUCUGACCCAGCGACGCCGCGUGAGGGAUGAAGGCCUUCGGGUUGUAAACCUCUUUCAGCAGGGAAUAAGCGAAAGUGAAGGUACCUGCAGAAGAAGCACCGGCUAACUAUGUGCCAGCAGCCGCGGUAAUACAUAGGGUGCAAGCGUUGUCCGGAAUUAUUGGGCGUAAAGAGCUCGUAGGUGGUCGAUCACGUCGGAUGUGAAAUUCUGAGGCUUAACCUCGGACCUGCAUUCGAUACGGGUUGACUAGAGUGUGGUAGGGGAGACUGGAAUUCCUGGUGUAGCGGUGGAAUGCGCAGAUAUCANGAGGAACACCGAUGGCGAAGGCAGGUCUCUGGGCCAUUACUGACACUGAGGAGCGAAAGCGUGGGGAGCGAACAGGAUUAGAUACCCUGGUAGUCCACGCCGUAAACGGUGGGCGCUAGUUGUGGGAACCUUCCACGGUUUCUGCGACGCAGCUAACGCAUUAAGCGCCCCGCCUGGGGAGUACNGUCGCAAGACUAAAACUCAAAGAAAUUGACGGGGCCCCGCACAAGCAGCGGAGCAUGCGGCUU